CAUGGAAGAGAAAAGUGGAGAAACGUGAAAAAUAGAUUGAGACAAAGAGAGAGAGAGAGAGAGAGAAAGAGAGAUGCAAUAAUUGUGAAACCUUCUCUUUUCUCGUGGCAAGCACUUUGGUCUUAGAUCUUGACUAACUCGACAACCCUUUAGAGAAAGAAAGAAAGAAACAGAGCAAGCACGCGAGAUACAACCUAUGUCGUCGUCUCUGCUUCUCAGCCUCUCUUCCAAGACCUCUCUCCCCAAACUUGCUCUGAGAUGCCACACCCUUCGGAUGUUCUCCUCCUCCUCCUCCUCCUCCACCAACCCGUUAUUGAUGUAUAGUGUCAUACAUUAUGGAAAGUCUGUGGAUGAUAUUGAUGUAAAAACCGCUAUACACUAUUUUGACCCGGUCAAGGAAGAUGAAGUUAUUGUCCGAGACAAGGCCUUUCCCAUGGAGUUGCGUAAGACGAGUCUGGUUGGAAUGUCCCAUGGAUGGGGAGUUUUCAACGUGGAGACUGGUGAUUUUAGACAUAAAGCUGUUUACGUUAGCGACUACUACCAUCCUUGUGGCUCCAAAUCAAAUCCCAAAAUCAUCCCUUUGCAUCCCAUGGGUAAACCUAAUAUUACCCAAUUCCGCCUCAUCACUAACGCUGCAAUGAGUUGUUCACCUGAUCAAAAUAAAGAGUUUGUACUAGCUGCCAAUUGUUUAGGACUUGAGAUCCAUUUCUUUAGCUCUGGUGGCGGCAAAACCGACAACUACUCGGGGUUAGGUUUUAGAACCGAAUCCCACUAUUUUGAUCAAUCAAAGGUCAUGUAUUCAAAGAGAGAUAAUAAGUUCUACACUCCUAGUGUUGGGGGCCACUUCUUGGGUUUCUGGGAUUCUUGCUUCGAGGAUUUGACUAGCUCCGAGAUGCAUGAGUUGCGGUUUUGCAACCUUCCUGAGGUGACCCAGUCGGAGUGGGAGCUCUUGGACUCAUGUUCCCCGCCGACUGCACACCUUGUUGAGUCUCCCUCAGGACAGCGUUUCCUAAUCAUGUGGUACGCUCAGGACUACAAACCGGGCAAGAAGAUGACAUUCUUGUGUCGCGGAACAAAGCGUUUCAUGGUUUUUAGAGAGGAGGAAGGUAUGAACAUGUGUUACACAGAGGACAUUGGAGAUCUCUGCAUAUUCCUCGGCAGAAGUGAGCCCUUCUGUCUCAAGGCAAGCUCAUUCCCUGGCCUAAACCCUAACUCCAUCUAUUUUGCUGGCGACGGCUUUGGUGUGUACGAUAUCACCACUAGAAAACCUCGUUCCUUCCGUCCCAAGUCUCCCUCAGCCUUCUCCACAACACCACUCUUCCCUUACUGGAUCCCUCCAAUGUGUCUCUAAUUUACUAUAUAUGCAUGCUCUCUGAAAAGUUAUGCAAGCGUUUCUCUUCUUUCAAAUAUGAUGGUUUAUACAUCAUUCUGCUGCACUGAUUAAACAAGCACAGUCGGCAACUCCAUCAACCAGAUGAAACGCAAAUAUAGGAUCUGCAGGGUCUUUGUAUUUGCUACUCAGAAUUGCAACACAUACCGGGAGAAUGUGAGAAGAUGAGUCACUCUGUUCUUCUUGAGCUAAGCUUCGUGAUGUUCCAGGCUGUGAUAAUGUAUCAGCAAACUGACAAGAGCUAGUAUCCAAGGAGGAUCCCCUCUCGUUUUCUCCAUUCAAACUUAUUGGUGCUCGUUUGCGGCAAUACAAGCUGCUGAAACUCAGAUAAUUAGAGCGCAGAGAGAGCUCAAACUUCAUACAUUCUAGCUUCCCUACAUUAAUCAGGAAACUCCAGCAUCCAGUAGUUGUGGAUCUCUCUGUGAAAAAAAAGAAGAAAAGGUCUAUGAGCAAAACUCGUAUGGAUAAGGUCAGGUGAACUGUAUUUGACAAGUAGCAGGCGCUUGUUGAUAGACAAAGUUUGCUUUCUUGGGCUUGAGAUCCUCCAUUUUCCUGCAAACAUCUGUGUUAACAAGAAGCAAAUAUUCAUGGUUAAGAUUAAGGAGAAGACACAGCAUGGCCACAGUAGUGAAGUCUUUUGCUCGGUCGUGAAUCUACCAGAUACUAAAUGUGGGAGAGAGUCAUCAGAAUGGAACCCAGAUAAGCGUAAUAAACCAUGCAGUGACCAUCUUGUUAGGUUCUUAUGGGGUUUUCUGUGUUUGAAUGU